GCCUAAUGAAUGCUUGGCUGAAAGGAUGUCCUGUUAAAGUCUCAACACUGCUGCAAUUUAAGGUGUCGAACCACAUAGCUGAGACCCCCAAAAUUCCUCAGGGAAGAUCAGAUUUGACAUUCUGAUAUUUCUAAAAUAUUACUUACAGGAUGCUGCACUGCAGAAAGGCUGUCCACUCCUAGGAUUGAUAUUAACUCGUUGGAUACUAGAGAAUUCACACAGAUGAAUGUCACCCUAGGAUCUGGAGUUUAGAGGUGGCAAAUAGGGGUGCUUUGCUAGGAAGCAAGGAGGUCUUCUGGAGGCUGGAAGGCAUGAGAGGUGGGACUCAAGCCUGCAGAGUAUGAAUGAGAGGAAUGGGAGACAGAGAGAUUUUCCUGGAAUCAAGAGUUGUAAUGUG